rnacentral:misc_RNA from 2 species
GACGUUCCUAACUGAAAAGGUUAGGCAGUUACAACCUCGCAAAAACAAAAGUUGUAACGAGAACUGAUAAUUCGAAAAGUCGAAUGACGGAGUAACGCCCUGAAAGGCUUUAGCUAAAACUGCGACAGGCGAUAAAUUAUUAAGGAUUUCAUGGUCUGGAGCUCGCAGAAGUCGACUGAGAAGACGCCCUAAUCGUAUUUUGAGAAUACGAAAGGAAAUGCGAACUAGAGGUAGUCGAGUGUCCGAUAGGUCGGGCUUCCAUAAAAUACUCAUGGUAAGAAUGUGCGAAAAGCACUGACGAAAUUCUGAAUGUACGUGUCUACACCGCGAAGUUGUCUAACGGCAGCUACUACAAAUCGUAGGGUUUGUGGGGUGGAGUAAAACUGGUCACUAUGAAACUCCCUAUAUCGUUACAGGCGAUAUCAAGCAAACAGGCACAGAGGGAUUACCUAAAAGUAUGAUGUACGGAUAGAAUUAUCGGAACGUC